rnacentral:rRNA from 1 species
CAAUUCGGUUCUCGCCGCAGUGUGCGGUACUCUCGGCGUGGGGCAGACGAAGACGCGUCCUCUGGUGAAGGAGCGGCGUCGUCGCCUAGCCGCGUAGUCGUAGCGCGCGAGUGGAAGAGGGGCGGUGCGGCAGCCACGCGCACAGUCCCCAGUGGCAGGAGGCCGGACCUCCUCGUCCUCCUCAAACUCCACGACCUGCGGCUUAGACCGUGCCACGCCACGCGCCGGUUGAUACGCGGCGACUGCGGCGAGUCGAAGUAGCUCGCGCGGCGCCGGCACAUGCCGCUGGCGGGGCGCCACCACAUGCCCCUCAGGACCAGAACGUGCACCUCGCUCCAGACCCUCUCCACGAACGCGCAGCGGCGGCGCGAGCGGUGGGCCAAGCCUCAGCGGGCGCCACUACACCACUCAUGGUUUGACCGGCCCUUGGCUGUCAGAAGUGGUUCAUCCACGACAUUGAUAAAAAUUGUGUAGAUGAUUACGGACAGACUAGUCUGAAACCCUAAACACGUUCACGCAGACUUACUUUGCUGGAAGUAGACUCUAAAUACUUGACAAUUAGGGUUUUAUACCUCAUAAAGAUUCAGCUGACUCGGCAUUGGUGAGUGUACUCUAAGUAGUUUUAGCGAUUGGUAUGAGACGUAUACGUCCAACGACAAGAAUCGGGCUUGCACGGCCGCUACAUGCUCGAUGUGAAGAGGCACGGGUACCGUCCGCGCUAGGAGACGUGGAACUUGUGUGCCGUACUGCGUCGGUACCACAGACGCAACGACUUCGUGAGACCGCGGUUCCACAACAAACAGCUCAGUCCGGAGGAACUACAACCCUCUCGGCGAGAAUUAUUGGAGCGGCCGCUGCUCAGAUCGCGGUGCCGGGAAGGCCAGGAGUAUUGGUAGAGUGUGCUACCUCUGACGUAGUUGAGGCGUAUGUGUCUGAUGCUCUCAGAGUAGUCUCUUCGUGGAAAUCCCAAGCUGUAGGCAACCGGCGACUUACUCAACCUGGGGUAGCGCAACUUAAUGUGUAGACCGUGUUGACGCUCCGGGUUCCCGCACUAGAUGUCGGUGGCCCGGCGCAUGGAGUUGUGAUAACGUUGCCGAGAGUGCAUGUUGUAGUGACAGUGCGGGUGAAUGAACACCUGGCACGGCUACAAGGUGCGGUUCCCCACCUUGGAUAGUACCCCGUAGCGGUACGUCCCGCCGUGGUUGCAGACGAACGCGGCGAAGUGCCGUUUCCAGUAGAAACUAUUCUAGAGUGUUGUGUUCCACUGCGUGUACCCGCCGCGUGGGUGCCAAGAGUUGUACUAGCAGUUGCGUGGUUGACCACUGGCUUUCGGUGACGGUCACUAUCAUGUAUAGUACUGGCCGCCACGGGGUGGUGGCGGAUCGUAGAACAUACCCUACCUUCUUGAACCUAAGUAUCAUAUGGUUUACAUACCAGAGUGUCUCUAACCGGGUCGGUGGUAGUUAUGCACCUACGGCCUCACCCUGUACAACGGUUGGCUCCUCGCCAGUGCCGAGUACCGUGCUGUCCCCAAAGUAGUAGUGUAGCCAUAUGUUCUGUAACUACAGUUCUUGGGUUGUUGGUACCUCUCGGAAGGUGUACUACCGUUUUGAUAGCCCCUCCACUACAAAGCUCCAUUGUGGCAGUGCUCGCCCAUGAUGUUCCUGUAGUUACGUUGGUUCCUCCGUUACCGGGUUCCCACCAACGUGUGCCCGCUAGAACGACACUUAGUAGGCCUACCCAUGUAGGUCGAGUUCCUGUCCCGGUUCCUGUAGUAGUAUAGGCCGCCACUCUUGUAUUCGAGCUAACUCCACCUCCGCCACUAGAAAUCGGUGGGCCGUCACGAACUCCGUCGCCAGCACCGUUCCGGUCUACUGGUGACCCCACUCUGUGGAACACGCAAGCAGUUCAAUUUCUGAUUGCAGCUACGUUGGCUUUAUCUCUAAUAUUUGAAGACAGCCCUAUUCAACGGUGUAAUGUACCGUGGUUUCUGCCACCAGAAGCGACUGAACGGGUUCUGAAGCUGUCCCUUCUGAGUUUUCAAAUAAGAGGCAGUCUUCCGAGCCCGAUACCCGUCGGAACACUUCUGGAUUUUAUCGCACGUACUUUAGUAAACAGAGCCUGUUUUAUACCAUAACAUGGCAUACCCGACUGAUAUCGAAACUUUGUCUUUAUUUACUG